AUUUACUCUAAUAUGCAGUGCUGUUGUCCUGCAUUCUUCUGUGCGAAUCCUACCAAUGCUACAGCAGAUGUGCAAAGGAUUGGAGCUCUAUGGCCUCCAUGAAAUGUUGAAACAAAAUCAGUCUUUAUUUCAGCCUUUAUUUGUUCCUGGCCAUUUUACAAAACCUGAUACGGAUUUUCUCACGAUGGCCCUGUCACCCAUUUUAAGUGAGGUGGGUUCAGUAAAAAGGCAGAGGGAAUCAAGAAUUGUGAACUACUUGCAGGACUUCAUUCAAAGCCUUUAAGACGAAGAAGAAGGGAGCAGUGGUAACAAGAGCAGAGGAGAGGAUGACAAUGAACAGGUAGAUGAAACGGAGGACUGCACUAAAGGAGACGCAGAACAAGACCAGAUCAUCGUCAGCAGCUUCAUGCAGUGGCUUACUGGUCAGGAACAUGUUCCCAUUACUUCUGCACAAAGAGAAUUUUUUUUAAAUAUACAUAGAAUUUGAUCAUGACUGUCAGCUACGAUAUGGUGAGCACAAUUUAUGCUACCCUCUUGUAAAUGCAUGUUCCUGUACUGUGACCUUGCCUACACAACCCCUAGGGACUUACACAGAGUUCCUUGACAUUAUGAGGCAGGCUGUGAGCAAUAGCAGAGAAUUUGGUCGUUCAUGAGAUGGAUUCCUAAUAUAGAGUUUACUCCCUGUACUGUGUUCUCUCUGUUACUGGUUUAGUGUAGUAUUUUAAAAGGAUAGGGAUGCAGUAGCUUUUGGAUAUUUAAAUUUAGUUUAUUUUUUUAUUUAGUUUUGUUUAUCAUUGACAUGUAUUGCAAAACAUGCAGCAAAGACUGCUGCAAAAUUGUUCCAAGACUCAAUUCAGAAAUGAAAAUGAUGUACAUCAAUAUACAGUAAGCUUCAAUGCAAAAUAAAGCCGCUAUGCAGU